CUCAUUACUCUUUUUUAGUUUUCACUUAUUUCAGCUAUUUUGCUUGAGUUGCUAUAGUCCUUUAUGCUAACAGCUGAAAAUAUCCUCUAAAUUUCAAAUUAUUUCAGUCCCAGUUACCUAUGAUAUGAUAUAAUCAACUCGCACAUACCAGCUCAACAACUUUCACCUGCUUUGCACUGACUUAUGUGUGUCCUUACUGGAGUUUUCCAUCAUCAUAUUUCUUGCUGGUGUCUUUAUGAAUGAUGGAUUGCGUCUAUCUCCAUCUAUUUGUAUGUUUUCUUAAACAAUGAUGUCCAUUUCUUUGCAUAGGUCCACAUAAAUGCAGACGUGUAAACCAACUCCACUAAUAUUGUCGGUGUCGUCAUCGUUUCAUAUCAAUGGGACUCUAUAAGCUACUACUGGAUCCUGAACCCUGCUUGUUUCCUAUAUAAGAGUUGGUUGCAGAUCCUUGAGAUGGAGAGACUUGACCUCUUGGACUGGGAAGUCAUGCAAGAGCCCAAAUAAUAAUACUAUAGUUUGAUACCUAUGCAAUUAUGGUCGUAUGGUUGAUUGCAUUUAGCUAUCCUGAUUCCCGACUAUUUUUGUCCUGAAUAUCUUCAUUGGUGAAUAGGCCUAAUUAUGGCUGCAAUGUAUAUAGCAAAUAUGUCACAGUGCAAAGAUUUCACUACUUCUCUUGGAACAGUCAAGGGGAUGACAUUGCCAUCGGUGGGUGGAAAUGUGGAAUCAGGUUUGCCAAUGAAAGGAGAAGGCAAGGUGGGCAGCAGACUGUAAGAGACCUUGCAGCAAAUGUGUGGAUCUUCCUCUACAAUGCCACUGCCGCUAGUCUCCCAAACCUAGGCAUUACUAGGACCCAUCCCUUUCCGGUAUACUCCCCAGCCCAUCCCCACUGUGAUGACCCCUCCAAGUAAGCUCCGUGGUCGUAACCUGCACGUGCCCAUCGACUACUCCUGCAAAUUGUUCACCUGCUAAUUGCAGAUGGACUCAUCGGUUCCCCUUCUUGGAAGAGCCGGUGAUACCUAGCUAAGUAGCUAUUCUGCCCUUCUUUAUACUUGGUGCUUUCUCUUUUGUUAAUGAUAUGACUGUAAUGGUCUGGUUGCAUAGUUGUGCUAUGGAAAAAGUGAACUGUACCCCAAUUGCCAA